ACCCACGUGGUUUAUGAAACUUUGCAUACAUUAAACUAGAACCUGUUUGCAGAAGAUUCUAGACUCACUAGUGAUGUAAAUUUUGUGAAACGUUGAAUUCAAUUCGUAUUACUAAAUACCACGUGCUUCUUUGUUCCGAAUAUUUUA
ensembl:ncRNA C34B4.14 ncRNA